GAGAGAGAGGAGUCUUGAUAGUGGAUAUCAGGAAAAAAAAAAAGGUACUUCAGUACUUAAGGCCUAAGGGAAGAGAACAUCACCCAUGUGAGAGGCUGAGAGCUUAAAAGGAUACUCAAAUUAUAGGGGCCUAAAGGCUUCCAACAGCAUUUGAAUGUUGGUAACUGAGACAGCUUGGCAAACUAGUGCCUGCUUGAUAGACCAGAAAGAGUAUAUAGUAAAUCCCAUAUCUCUUGACUCUAAUGAUUUUUUUCCUUCCUUCUUCAUGUUUGCACCAAUUUAAUACAUGUAUAUAUGCAUGCCCUUGUUUCCAUGCAACUAUUUGGACGAUGAAACAACAAAAAUUAUUAGAAAGAAAGAGGAACAUGACCAAAACAAGUCCAAACUCAAAAGGUCAAAAACAGCUAGAAAAUUAAAAACAUCAAUCACCCGUGAGAUCAGUAUUUUAUAACAGCAGAAUCAAACACAAAACUUCUACUGUGCCCUUGCUCUGAAUUUGACUUACUGAAUCACGUAGAGAAAAGUAACUGUAUAUGGAUUGUGGAUACCUGAUAUAAGUUCCUUCUUGCCA
rnacentral:misc_RNA from 1 species